ensembl:snoRNA
UUUGCCCCUAGAGGCGUUACAGGCGUGUGCCCCGUUACACGUCUGUGUCAUUAGGUGGCAUAGAGGGAAAUGGCUGUGUCUACACUCGGUGCUCUAACCUGUGGGUACUAAGAAUGAUUAGCAGCCAGACAUU